GUUGUUCGGAAUUACUGGGCGUAAAGGGCGCGUAGGCGGCCUGCUAAGUCGGAUGUGAAAUCCCUCGGCUCAACCGAGGAACUGCAUCCGAUACUGGCGGGCUUGAAUUCGGGAGAGGGAUGCGGAAUUCCAGGUGUAGCGGUGAAAUGCGUAGAUAUCUGGAGGAACAUCAGUGGCGAAGGCGGCCUUCUGGUCCAGUACAGACACUCAAGUGCGAAAGCGUGGGGAGCAAACAGG
rnacentral:rRNA from 1 species